GGCAGCAAAAUUUUGGCUGCACGUUCAACAUAUUUAAUACAGUUCAACCGGGUUUGGCUUUGGCUUUGGCAUGGCUCGACCUGGUCGGGUCUGCUCUGAGGGCUCUUGACACACAUCCGCCUUAUCAGGGCCUUAUCAGCUGGGGGGAGGAGAACCUAAACACAGACAGACCUAGACGGAGACAGAGACAAAGAGUAAGUAGCAAUCAAUGUCAGGGCGCAGUUUCAGUUGAGUUCAGCAUCUCUCAGAGAAAUGUUCGCCGCAAUGAAUCUCUGGCUUAUUCUGUUUUUGAUUGGCCUGAUCCAAGGCCGCUCCAUUAUGCGAGACAGCCAGGAGUGGCCGACAACCCACCCAGAUCCCACCAUCUUUGAGUACCCGCCGACCGAAAAUCAGGAGCUCUUUUUAGAUUAAUCGUUUUUAAUGUGAAUUAUAAUUAAAUAAAAUAAAUUUCGAUGGUUUGAUCUAUCAAAUUCCUUA